AAUAAGGGAACAAAUGAAAGUACGAGUGUUCCUUUAUAUAUUUCCAGACUUUCACUCACAGUGCAGUACAUACCUUGUGAAGAAACCUGGAAAAAAAUAAAGGAACACUUGUUCUUUCAUGUGUUCCCUUAUUCG